GGCAGCUCUGGGACCCAGGCUGUGUGUGUGUGUGUGUGUGUGUGUGUGUGUGUGUGUGUGUGUGUGGUUUUUCUGGGGCUUAUUCCCCGAGGAGCCUGCAGAUGGCAGAGUUGAGCCGGCAAGGAGGAAGUUUCCUCUUGGUUGUUAAGUAUAGUAGUGAAUCCUUGCAUGGUUCAGAGAGUGUGAGAGAAAUCCCCGUGUCCAUCAGGAAACGUGGAACAGGAUCUCCGGUCCUGAAGAUUCAGUCUGCAUCACUCCUGAAGGGGAGGGACACGGGACUGUGUGUUGAGGGUACGGGAUGUGUCACCACUCACGGCCAGGGAGCCUGGAUUGGCGGGAGCCACCUGAGCCUGUGGUCAGCACCUCACAUUUUGCACUGGCAGCAAACGGGGACACAGCAGCUGGACCGGCUGCAGGAUGACCCACAGCUGGAAGAGAAGCAGCCACACGAGCCACAGCCCCCCUUGGAGCCCUCACAGGAGCCACACCUCCCUUGGAGCCCCCACAGGAGCCACAGCCCCCCUUGGAGCCCCACAGAAGACAGAGCCCCCCUUGGAGCCCCCACACGAGCCACAGCCCCCCUUGGAGCCCUCACAGGAGCCACACCUCCCUUGGAGCCUUCAUAGGAGCCACAGCCCCCCUUGGAGCCCCGACAUGAGCUACCGCUGGGACAGGCACAGGCUGGCACACAGCAGCCCAUGGUUCUGACCUAAGCUCCAUAAAGCAUGAACAUUUCAUUCACCUGCCUUCCCCGUGUUUGAACAGUGUCUGAGACAUAACAGGAGCGCCGCAAAUUCGCCGAAUGGAUUCAGGAACGUUCACGGGGCUUCAGGACAGGAGAGAGAGGAGCACGUGUCCGGCAUCGACUUUUGAACAAGCUUGUCUUUAACGGAGUGUGCCAGCCUGACGGUCAAAUGCACAGAUCACAGGCACACGGAUCGUGACAUCAUCACAAUGUGAGCACAGUAAGGUCCCCGCCACUCGGGUCCUGAUACUAAACGACUCCCACCCCGAAUCCGGAGCCUGCCACCCCCUCUCCGAACAUCGCCCCGUCUCCUCAAACACCUGCUGUCCUGACUGGUGAGUCCAGAGGUCAGCUUUGCCUGCUCUUCAUCUUCGAAGAUGAAGAUGAACUUCAUCUAAGUGGAACAAGGUGGGACGUGUCCUCUGCUGUCUGGCUUGUUCCCAGCCCACGUCGUGUUUGUGAGGUUCACACCGUUGGCCACAGCUGAAGUCCUUUUAUUUUCAUUUCUUAAUAGCAUUCUGUCGUCACCGUUCAUUUAUGUCUUCCACUGUCAACGGGCACGCGGGUCCACGACGCUCCGGAAACGUUCCUGCGCGUGUCCGGCCAGGCGUGCAUCUGGGCACAUUUCCGGGUGCGCCCUCGGAGUGGGGCGGCCGAGUCACGGGACAUCGUCCAGCUUCAGUGGGUGGGAGCAGCGUGUGAGCCACGUGCAGGAGCACUGACGGCCUCCCGUCCUUCCCUGAAUGUGGGGUCGCCCGGCUGGCUCUCGUGCCAUGUGUGUGACGAUCAUUCUCUGCUUUUACUUUGCGUUUUUAACGAGGCAGAGAACCAUUUAUUGUGUGUACUGGUCGAUUAGAAAAGUGCCCGUUCCAGGGUCCUCCUCAUGCCUCUCUCUUCUCUCUCCAUCUUUUCAUUUUCGUUACCGUUUUGUGGCAGCUCCCUGCUUACCCUGGAGCGUCAGCCCUCGGAGCCGGCCCGGGGACAGACGCCGGCUGGCACUGCCUCUGAGACCCCUUCCUGGGCGCCAGGCAGGGCACAGCACAGGUCAUUGGCCCCGUUCACGCUGUGCUCGGUGUUUUUGUCCCGGUUAAGAAAUCUGUGCUCAGUGUUUGAUUUGCGGGUUACUUAUUUGUCUAUCCUUUGCUUUCAAGGUUUCUGUGUUUUUAUUUCUAAGGUGUGUCUCUUAUAUGCGGGGUUAAAACAAUUUUUUUUUUUUAAGUUUUAAAAAGCAGCCUGUCAAGGGCAUUUGUCGUAACUGGGUAUGUGGUGUGCUUAUAUCUGAUGUCCACUGUUUGGGCUUAAAUGAACCUUUUCACUAUUUGCUUUCUGUGGGUUCCCUCCCUCUCCAUUGAUCCAAAACUUAAUUUUUACUCUUUCCCACCUGUGAGGUAUCAGCCUGAUUUUAGGGUGCUUUUCGGGGCUACCCUAGAGACGAAAAUGCACAUUUCUGACUCACAAAAAUCAAGUCAGAGGUAGUUAUUUUACCGUUUCCACGCGUGGCCGAGGACAGAGGUCCUUUGGGGCUGGUCGUCAUCCCGCGCGGGUGCUUUCCACAUCGUGACUCUUAUUUUUAGGAAAAUUUAACCCCCCGCUGUCCGUUAUUACCUUUGCUCUGUGGAGUCAAGUUCUCUGUGGAUUCACCCACAUUUACCCUUUCCUCCUCGCUCUCCUCCCUGCACCUUGGAGCCGCCGCCUCUGUCGGAAGAAAACCACCCCCACUCCAUCUUCCCUGCGGCCUGGCACGCGGUUGGUGACCCCCUGCAGUCUUUGUUGUCUGGAAAUAUAUGUACUGGCCCCUCAGUUCUCAAGGAUGUUUUUGCUGGUGUGAGUGUUCAGGGCAGGAGGUGCACGAGGCAACACGGCCAAAGCCCUCAGCAAACCGGAGCCCAGCAACGUGUCGAGAGAAUGACGCGCUCUGAUAAGCCGGGCUUUAUACCAGGGAUUCAAAGCUGGGUUAACAUCUGAAAAUGAAUCGAUGUAAUCAACCGUGGGAGCGGAACAGGGGAGAAAACCCGCCUGAUCUUACGGAGAAAUCACAAGCGAGCAUUAGACAAAAUCCGAUGCCAUUCGUGGGGAAAACAGACAGACACCCCUCAGCGCGAUGAGACAGAGGUCCGGAACUGAGGGGGCCACGUUCCCGACCGCAAGCCAGCCAGUCAGACGGCGGGCGGGGUUCACGGCCACCGCGAGACGGAGCAGGCCGUGGUCCACAGCAGCAUGUGCAGGGCCGCGGCCUUGAGCUCCAGCCCCGCGGGGUCUCGUGCGGGGCACCUGUGCGCGCCUGGCGCCAGGGGCCCGGAACGCGGAGGGUCUGCAUCGCCCCCUGCAGGCAGGAAGCGUGUCUGCACCUUGUUCGGGACGAGACCUUGUCUCUGCCCUCCCAGGCCGUCGGGAAAGCGGGGCUCAGGCUGGCAGCUCACGAGAGGUGCAGACCUGCAGGAAACCCGCGGCCCACCGAGCGUGUGCCCCGUGAGCGCCGGGGAAGACCUGCCCCAAGCAUCCUCCACGCGGUCCAAGACGGUGCGCCGUGCCCGAGAUCGGGGGCAGGGACGAUGCCCAGGAUCGCCACUCUGUUGAGGCUGAGCCUCUAGAUUUGAGGGCGACCGGAAACCCUGCUGGCCAUUUCAGUGGAACCACGGGCCGCGUAGAUAAACGUUGGGGAACCGGGUCUCCCCAGAGCGAGCCUUCCAGUCUGUGUGAGGCUGCUUUCUGUUCUUGAAGCGCUCUUUAAUUUCUCUCGGAGGUUUUGUGAUUUUCACUUUCGAGGUCUGGUGCACCUUUUGCACGAUUUACACUUCUAGGUACAUAUGCGAUUUUGGGGGGAUGAAGUAUAAAUGAUUUUGAUUUUAGUGGAAUUUUCAAACUUGUUUAGCAUUUGAGGAAAAUUAACUUCAGAGCGACCUUUUAUUCAGUGACCUUGCUAACUUUACCUCCUUGUUAUAAUGCUUAAUCUGUAGAUUAUUUGGGAUUGUC